UUGAAUGACGCGGGUGCGCCGUAAAAGUUCUUAUGUUGGCAGAUAGAGUGCGCGCAUGCGCAGAAGCGUCUGUGUGACUGCCGUUAUGUCGUACAGUUAGAUCACGCGGCACAGUAUUGCAGUUCAUAUUGUUCGUGUGCGCGCGUUUCUCAGUCGUUGCACAAAGAAAAUUUUCAACCAAGAUUACAUAUGAAGACUACAUUCUAUGACAGGUGCGUUGACCUAUACACAUCGUGUCGUUAUUACAGUUCAUAUUCAUCUGCUGCACAAUAAUUUUUUACAGAUCAGACGUGACCCGUCGAGUAAUUGGUCCACGUGCAGUUCGUUUUUUACAUUCCGUGGAAGCUUGGUUGCAGAACCUCGGACGGCACAUAGCUGGCGUCGAUCCUUGGACAGUCCAGGUAAGCGUGUCCGUCACAUUUCGAGAACAUUUCAUUCCCUGAAGUUCCAACCAAAAUUCUUCCACCCGUCGUGUUGUUUUCUGG